UCUUCAGCUGUUGAUGUCAAUGAGUUGAUAGCAUUAGAACGUGGACUAUCUCUCGGCUUUAAAUGCGAGGGGAAUGCUGUGGUCUCACUCGCAGCCGUUCUGGACUCGUCAAACUAGGCGGCGUUAGAGCCCCAGUAACGCGUUUGAGCCCCAGUAACCAAGCGCCGCCUAGCGUGACGAGUCUAGAACGGCUGCGAGGGAGACAAGGAUGCUGGAAGGAGUAGCAGAUUGACAAGUAUGUAAGCAUGGCAGUACUUUGUGCGAACAAGAGCACUUUGAUAUUUGUCGUCUGCGAGCAAGCGAGUAUUUUGAACAAAAAGCAUUUGGCGUGCAAAAGAAGAUGGAACUUUAGGCGAAGCAUAUUGACUAUUCUCACCGAGUGAAUCACUGCGCAAUGUAUGACCAAUUAUGCUUCCUCUUAGGGAUAUCGCACGAUGUACAUGUCAUAAUAGAGCAUUUCAAGGCCACGACAUUUCAAGGGCACAUCCAAACAGAGCGAUGCAAGCGGUUGACCAAGCGCUUUUGUCCUACCAGCCACCAUUUGGAUGAAGCGCCCCUUGGUCGUGUUUACCGCCGCGUACUCAUCGAACCACGCCCAUGUCAUGGGGUUCUCCAAGGUAAACUCCCACGUGAUCAAACUCAUGUUGCACUUGAAUUCAUUGAGUACGAUGUGUGCGGCUUCCGGGUCGGCGCCAAAGUUGAACUCAGCGGUGACGAGAUGGUUGCCGACCGCGUGUUUGUUACCGCCCAUCAUGUGGACAGCCUUGACGUUCGUCAGAAAAGUGGGAUCCAGCCGUCCCGCUAUGGCGAGGUUAGUGAGGGGGGCCAGUGCGAGUAUGCUUAUCUACAGCAUUACAUAAAACAUGAUGAGAAUAUGACGUUGGUCCUCUAAGGCGUGUUAGGUAGGAAGCCAGCGCAUGCUUAUUAUCAAGGGCCGUAGCAGUGGAGAUUCAUGCCCCCCUCCCCCCAUAUUAUCAAAAGAAUACGAGGAAACGACCAGAAGGAUCGUGGCUGUGCCGUCCAAUAUUUCGAGGCGUACUUCAGCUCUGUUAUCCACGGUACAUCAUAAAACAUAUGAGGAGAAUAUAACGUUAUAGGAUUAUGCCCUUGAGGACCAGGGCAUAAAGAAGAAAGUUAGACUCUUAAAUUUUCUCGCGCUCCUACGCCGUGGGCCCGCGCAUUUCAAGAAAGUAUCGAAAAACUUGAUACCACUGUAAGGAAAGAGACGAACGCAGAAGAAAAACAGCCUUUGAUCUAA